rnacentral:rRNA from 1 species
GACGAACGCUGGCGGCGUGCUUAACACAUGCAAGUCGAGCGGUAAGGCCCUUCGGGGUACACGAGCGGCGAACGGGUGAGUAACACGUGGGUGAUCUGCCCUGCACUUCGGGAUAAGCCUGGGAAACUGGGUCUAAUACCGGAUAUGACCAAGGACUGCAUGGUUUUUGGUGGAAAGGUUUACCGGUGCAGGAUGGGCCCGCGGCCUAUCAGCUUGUUGGUGGGGUAAUGGCCUACCAAGGCGACGACGGGUAGCCGACCUGAGAGGGUGACCGGCCACACUGGGACUGAGACACGGCCCAGACUCCUACGGGAGGCAGCAGUGGGGAAUAUUGCACAAUGGGCGAAAGCCUGAUGCAGCGACGCCGCGUGAGGGAUGACGGCCUUCGGGUUGUAAACCUCUUUCAGCAGGGACGAAGCGAAAGUGACGGUACCUGCAGAAGAAGCACCGGCCAACUACGUGCCAGCCGCCGCGGUAAUAC